UGGGGAAUAUUGCACAAUGGGCGCAAGCCUGAUGCAGCCAUGCCGCGUGUAUGAAGAAGGCCUUCGGGUUGUAAAGUACUUUCAGCGGGGAGGAAGGGAGUAAAGUUAAUACCUUUGCUCAUUGACGUUACCCGCAGAAGAAGCACCGGCUAACUCCGUGCCAGCAGCCGCGGUAAUACGGAGGGUGCAAGCGUUAAUCGGAAUUACUGGGCGGAAAGCGCACGCAGGCGGUUUGUUAAGUCAGAUGUGAAAUCCCCGGGCUCAACCUGGGAACUAGAUCUGAUACUGGCAAGCUUGAGUCUCGUAGAGGGGGGUAGAAUUCCAGGUGUAGCGGUGAAAUGCGUAGAGAUCUGGAGGAAUACCGGUGGCGAAGGCGGCCCCCUGGACGAAGACGGACGCUCAGGUGCGAAAGCGUGGGGAGCAAACAGG
rnacentral:rRNA from 1 species